rnacentral:rRNA from 1 species
CCUACGGGAGGCAGCAGUGAGGAAUAUUGGUCAAUGGACGAGAGUCUGAACCAGCCAAGUAGCGUGAAGGAUGACUGCCCUAUGGGUUGUAAACUUCUUUUAUAUGGGAAUAAAAUGUUCCACGUGUGGGAUUUUGUAUGUACCAUAUGAAUAAGGAUCGGCUAACUCCGUGCCAGCAGCCGCGGUAAUACGGAGGAUCCGAGCGUUAUCCGGAUUGAUUGGGUUUAAAGGGAGCGUAGGUGGAUUGUUAAGUCAGUUGUGAAAGUUUGCGGCUCAACCGUAAAAUUGCAGUUGAAACUGGCAGUCUUGAGUACAGUAGAGGUGAGCGGAAUUCGUGGUGUAGCGGUGAAAUGCUUAGAUAUCACGAAGAACUCCGAUUGCGAAGGCAGCUCACUGGACUGCAACUGACACCGAGGCUCGAAAGUGUGGGUAUCAAACAGGAUUAGAUACCCUGGUAGUC